AAGAAAAGGUCAGGAUAGCUCAGUUGGUAGAGCAGAGGACUGAAAAUCCUCGUGUC
rnacentral:tRNA from 5 species